rnacentral:rRNA from 1 species
GACGAACGCUGGCGGCGUGCUUAACACAUGCAAGUCGAACGAUGACGACCGAGCUUGCUCGGUCUGAUUAGUUGCGAACGGGUGAGUAACACGUGAGCAACCUGCCCUUCACUCUGGGAUAACCUCGGGAAAUCGGGGCUAAUACCGGAUAUGAGCUCCUGUCUCAUGGCGGGUGUUGGAAAGUUUUUCGGUGUAGGAUGGGCUCGCGGUCUAUCAGCUUGUUUGUGUGGUAGUGGCUAACCAAGGCGAUGACAGGUAGCCGGCCUGAGAGGGCGACCGGACACACUGGGACUGAAACACGGCACAGACUCCAACGGGAGGCAGCAGAGGGGAAUAUUGCACUAGGGGCGAAAGGCUGAUGCAGCCACGCCGCGUGGGGGAUGACGGCCUUCGGGUUGUAAACCUCUUUCAGCAGGGAAGAAGCGAAAGUGACGGUACCUGCAGAAGAAGCGCCGGCUAACUACGUG